ACCCAAAUAUUUUAAAAUAAAAUCGUGGUUUUGUAAAUCAUCAUUGGGUAUUAACCCUUUGGGUU
rnacentral:tRNA from 1 species